UACGUAGGGUGCAGGCGUUAAUCGGAAUUACUGGGCGUAAAGCGUGCGCAGGCGGUCUGUUAAGACCGAUGUGAAAUCCCCGGGCUUAACCUGGGAACCGCAUUGGUGACUGGCAGGCUUUGAGUGUGGCAGAGGGAGGUAGAAUUCCACGUGUAGCAGUGAAAUGCGUAGAGAUGUGGAGGAAUACCGAUGGCGAAGGCAGCCUCCUGGGCCAACACUGACGCUCAUGCACGAAAGCGUGGGGAGCAAACAGG
rnacentral:rRNA from 1 species